rnacentral:lncRNA from 1 species
UGGCAUGUGUGACUUUCUUUGGCUUCUUUGGCAAGCUGAAUCUUGAAAUUCAAUAUUUGAAUAUGAAUCUUGAAGAUUUAAAUUUCAAAAUACUUUCCUUGUUUGGCUCUCCAUUUAUGGCAACUUGAGAUAUGAUUUCUUGAAUAAGGAAAGAAGGCAACUUGAGAUUUGAAAUUUGAAUUUCAAAUUGCUUUGGCUGAAUGUUCUUUCCUUCUUUGGCACUUUUCUUAUUUAGAACUUUCUAUAUUGAGCUUUUCUUGAUUUCAACUUGGCAGGCUUGCUCUCUUUUGCUCCAAAUAAGGCAGUUUUAGGGGCAUUUUCUCCAAAGUGUCCUUUUACACCAUUUUCUGCAAAAUAAUACCAAGAGCACUAAAUUAAGCAGAAAUCAUGUAAAUAAUCAUCAAUAAUAUCAAGAUAAAAUGGACUAGAAUAUGUUCUAUCAAAUACCCCCACACUUAGCCUUUUUCUUGUCCUCAAGCAAAUAAACAUAGUCAAAUAAGCUUUCUUUGCUCUAAAUCCUUAUUUCCACUUAAGCUCUUACUCAAGACACCUAUUUUGAAUCAUUGCAGUGAAGAAUAUAUGCAUGAAGAUUACUCAACUUCUUUCCUUGUUUCCCUUUACUUACCAUGGCUAGGAUCUAUUUUCCUCAAGAGAGACCAUACAUGCACAUUAUUUGUUCAGAUAAGACUUUUUCUAGCUUUCAGAGUGACUUGUCCUUACCUUGAUGUACUUUAUUUAGGCUUUUGCACUUAGAUUUUGCUUGAAAAAGUCACCAACCUUUUGACGUGAAGGUACAUAUUUGUGAUACCCACCUCCAGUUACUCAGUUGGUCACCUGUCCAAGUGGCUACUAGCUCUGUUCGUAGUCUUUUGACCAUUGGAACAGUUUUUUAAGUUUGUGCUUUUGAGGUCUUUGCCUUUGCUAAAUUUUCUUUUUCUCAAUGAUUUGGGCAAAUCAACACCAAUUGCUAAAUCAAGUUAUGUUAAGUUCAUUUACACAAAUUUCAAUUCAUUCUCUUCAAUUGAGGGUCAUCAAUAUAUUUUUCACCAUAGCAAGCUCAACGAUUCAAUUCAAAAGGCAAUUCUCAAACAUGAAUAUAACUCACUGCAAUUGAUUCAACAUAAGUUUAAAGAGUCAUCACAUCAAUGGAGUCAUGGCAAGAAAACUCAUCCAACAUAGUUCAUCAGUUUGAGUAAAACAAAUCAAAAAGAAGAAGAAGGUUGUGGUUGUGUGUGUGUUAUUGAAAGCAUAAAACAAACAAAAAGAAAACUGAAAGCAUAAAUCGCAUAACUGAAAGGAAAAAUCGGAAAGAAAAUAAAAUUUUUUUCGCAAAUCUGAAAGGGAUCUUGCGCAAAACUGAAAGGAAAGAGGAGAAGAAGAAAGAAGAAGAAGAAGAGAAGUAAGAAGAGAUAUGCACCCCCACACUUAAAUCAUGCAUUGUCCUCAAUGUAAAAGAAAAGAGAAGAACAAAGGAAUCUGAAUACUCCCCUGGGGUGUGGUGUGCAUGGCGUGAUCACUAGGCAGACUGAGAUGGUUUUUGUAGUGGAAUUUCUUCUACUAUUUGUACUGCGAAUCCUUCAUAGAAAGGUUUCAGGCGAUGGCCAUUCACCUUGAAGAUUUUUCCUAUCUCUACACUACGAAUUUCUACAGCUCCAUGUGGAUAAGCAUGUUCCACAAUGAAUAGUCCAAUCUACCUAGACCGUAGCUUACCUGGAAACAAUUUUAAACGAGAGUCAAAGAGUAAGACUUUAUCACCAACCUUAAAUUGUUUUCUUGAAAGCUG